rnacentral:rRNA from 1 species
GAUGAACGCUGGCGGCGUGCCUAAUACAUGCAAGUCGAGCGAACAGAUGAGGAGCUUGCUCUUCUGACGUUAGCGGCGGACGGGUGAGUAACACGUGGAUAACCUACCUAUAAGACUGGGAUAACUUCGGGAAACCGGAGCUAAUACCGGAUAAUAUAUUGAACCGCAUGGUUCAAUAGUGAAAGACGGUUUUGCUGUCACUUAUAGAUGGAUCCGCGCCGUAUUAGCUAGUUGGUAAGGUAACGGGUUACCAAGGCGGCGAUGCGUAUCCGACCUGGGCGAGUGAUCGGCCACACUGGAACUGGGACACGGUCCAGACUACUACGGGAGGGAGCAGUAGGGAAUGUUCCGCAAUGGGCGAAAACCUGACGGAGCAACGCCGCGUGAGUGAUGAAGGUCUUCGGAUCGUAAAACUCUGUUAUUAGGGAAGAACAAAUGUGUAAGUAACUGUGCACGUCUUGACGGUACCUAAUCAGAAAGCCACGGCUAACUACGUG